rnacentral:rRNA from 1 species
GACGAACGCUGGCGGCGUGCUUAACACAUGCAAGUCGAACGGAAAGGCCCUGCUUUUGUGGGGUGCUCGAGUGGCGAACGGGUGAGUAACACGUGAGUAACCUGCCCUUGACUUUGGGAUAACUUCAGGAAACUGGGGCUAAUACCGGAUAGGAGCUCCUGCUGCAUGGUGGGGGUUGGAAAGUUUCGGCGGUUGGGGAUGGACUCGCGGCUUAUCAGCUUGUUGGUGGGGUAGUGGCUUACCAAGGCUUUGACGGGUAGCCGGCCUGAGAGGGUGACCGGCCACAUUGGGACUGAGAUACGGCCCAGACUCCUACGGGAGGCAGCAGUGGGGAAUAUUGCACAAUGGGCGGAAGCCUGAUGCAGCAACGCCGCGUGCGGGAUGACGGCCUUCGGGUUGUAAACCGCUUUCGCCUGUGACGAAGCGUGAGUGACGGUAAUGGGUAAAGAAGCACCGGCUAACUACGUGCCAGCAGCCGCGGUGAUACGUAGGGUGCGAGCGUUGUCCGGAUUUAUUGGGCGUAAAGGGCUCGUAGGUGGUUGAUCGCGUCGGAAGUGUAAUCUUGGGGCUUAACCCUGAGCGUGCUUUCGAUACGGGUUGACUUGAGGAAGGUAGGGGAGAAUGGAGUUCCUGGUGGAGCGGUGGAAUGCGCAGAUAUCAGGAGGAACACCAGUGGCGAAGGCGGUUCUCUGGGCCUUUCCUGACGCCGAGGAGCGAAAGCGUGGGGAGCGAACAGGCUUAGAUACCCUGGUAGUCCACGCUGUAAACGGUGGGUACUAGGUGUGGGGUCCAUUCCACGGGUUCCGUGCCGUAGCUAACGCUUUAAGUACCCCGCCUGGGGAGUACGGCCGCAAGGCUAAAACUCAAAGGAAUUGACGGGGCCCCGCACAAGCGGCGGAGCAUGCGGAUUAAUUCGAUGCAACGCGUAGAACCUUACCUGGGUUUGACAUGGAUCGGGAGUGCUCAGAGAUGGGUGUGCCUCUUUUGGGGUCGGUUCACAGGUGGUGCAUGGCUGUCGUCAGCUCGUGUCGUGAGAUGUUGGGUUAAGUCCCGCAACGAGCGCAACCCUUGUUCACUGUUGCCAGCACGUUAUGGUGGGGACUCAGUGGAGACCGCCGGGGUCAACUCGGAGGAAGGUGGGGAUGACGUCAAGUCAUCAUGCCCCUUAUGUCCAGGGCUUCACGCAUGCUACAGUGGCUGGUACAGAGAGUGGCGAGCCUGUGAGGGUGAGCGAAUCUCGGAAAGUCGGUCUCAGUUCGGAUUGGGGUCUGCAACUCGACCUCAUGAAGUCGGAGUCGCUAGUAAUCGCAGAUCAGCAACGCUGCGGUGAAUACGUUCCCGGGGCU